GCAGGGUAUAGACCCGAAACCCGGUGAUCUAGCCAUGGGCAGGUUGAAGGUUGGGUAACACUAACUGGAGGACCGAACCGACUAAUGUUGAAAAAUUAGCGGAUGACCUGUGGCUGGGGGUGAAAGGCCAAUCAAACCGGGAGAUAGCUGGUUCUCCCCGAAAGCUAUUUAGGUAGCGCCUCGUGAAUUCAUCUCCGGGGGUAGAGCACUGUUUCGGCUAGGGGGCCAUCCCGGCUUACCAACCCGAUGCAAACUGCGAAUACCGGAGAAUGUUAUCACGGGAGACACACGGCGGGUGCUAACGUCCGUCGUGAAGAGGGAAACAACCCAGACCGCCAGCUAAGGUCCCAAAGUCAUGGUUAAGUGGGAAACGAUGUGGGAAGGCCCAGACAGCCAGGAUGUUGGCUUAGAAGCAGCCAUCAUUUAAAGAAAGCGUAAUAGCUCACUGGUCGAGUCGGCCUGCGCGGAAGAUGUAACGGGGCUAAACCAUGCACCGAAGCUGCGGCAGCGACGCUUAUGCGUUGUUGGGUAGGGGAGCGUUCUGUAAGCCUGCGAAGGUGGCCUGUGAGGGUUGCUGGAGGUAUCAGAAGUGCGAAUGCUGACAUAAGUAACGAUAAAGCGGGUGAAAAGCCCGCUCGCCGGAAGACCAAGGGUUCCUGUCCAACGUUAAUCGGGGCAGGGUGAGUCGACCCCUAAGGCGAGGCCGAAAGGCGUAGUCGAUGGGAAACGGGUUAAUAUUCCCGUACUUGGUGUUACUGCGAAGGGGGGACGGAGAAGGCUAUGUUGGCCGGGCGACGGUUGUCCCGGUUUAAGCGUGUAGGUGUGUGUUCCAGGUAAAUCCGGUUCACUUUAACACUGAGGCGUGACGACGAGGCACUACGGUGCUGAAGCAACAAAUGCCCUGCUUCCAGGAAAAGCCUCUAAGCAUCAGGUAACAUCAAAUCGUACCCCAAACCGACACAGGUGGUCAGGUAGAGAAUACCAAGGCGCUUGAGAGAACUCGGGUGAAGGAACUAGGCAAAAUGGUGCCGUAACUUCGGGAGAAGGCACGCUGACACGUAGGUGAAGUGAUUUACUCAUGGAGCUGAAGUCAGUCGAAGAUACCAGCUGGCUGCAACUGUUUAUUAAAAACACAGCACUGUGCAAACACGAAAGUGGACGUAUACGGUGUGACGCCUGCCCGGUGCCGGAAGGUUAAUUGAUGGGGUCAGCGCAAGCGAAGCUCCUGAUCGAAGCCCCGGUAAACGGCGGCCGUAACUAUAACGGUCCUAAGGUAGCGAAAUUCCUUGUCGGGUAAGUUCCGACCUGCACGAAUGGCGUAAUGAUGGCCAGGCUGUCUCCACCCGAGACUCAGUGAAAUUGAACUCGCUGUGAAGAUGCAGUGUACCCGCGGCAAGACGGAAAGACCCCGUGAACCUUUACUAUAGCUUGACACUGAACAUUGAGCCUUGAUGUGUAGGAUAGGUGGGAGGCUUUGAAGCGUGGACGCCAGUCUGCGUGGAGCCGACCUUGAAAUACCACCCUUUAAUGUUUGAUGUUCUAACGUGGACCCGUUACCCGGGUUGCGGACAGUGUCUGGUGGGUAGUUUGACUGGGGCGGUCUCCUCCUAAAGAGUAACGGAGGAGCACGAAGGUUGGCUAAUCCUGGUCGGACAUCAGGAGGUUAGUGCAAUGGCAUAAGCCAGCUUGACUGCGAGCGUGACGGCGCGAGCAGGUGCGAAAGCAGGUCAUAGUGAUCCGGUGGUUCUGAAUGGAAGGGCCAUCGCUCAACGGAUAAAAGGUACUCCGGGGAUAACAGGCUGAUACCGCCCAAGAGUUCAUAUCGACGGCGGUGUUUGGCACCUCGAUGUCGGCUCAUCACAUCCUGGGGCUGAAGUAGGUCCCAAGGGUAUGGCUGUUCGCCAUUUAAAGUGGUACGCGAGCUGGGUUUAGAACGUCGUGAGACAGUUCGGUCCCUAUCUGCCGUGGGCGCUGGAGAACUGAGGGGGGCUGCUCCUAGUACGAGAGGACCGGAGUGGACGCAUCACUGGUGUUCGGGUUGUCAUGCCAAUGGCACUGCCCGGUAGCUAAAUGCGGAAGAGAUAAGUGCUGAAAGCAUCUAAGCACGAAACUUGCCCCGA
rnacentral:rRNA from 1 species